GGCGUCGCUAGUGCAACUGGUUAGAGCACGCGCCCCACAAAGGGUAAAAUGCGGGUUCGAGUCCCGCUUAACGUCA